GAUGAACGCUGACAGAAUGCUUAACACAUGCAAGUCAACUUGAACUUCGGUUUGGGUGGCGGACGGGUGAGUAACGCGUAAAGAACUUGCCUCACAGAUAGGGACAACAUUUGGAAACGAAUGCUAAUACCUGAUAUUAUGAUUAUAUGGCAUCGUAUAAUUAUGAAAGCUGUAUGCGCUGUGAGAGAGCUUUGCGUCCCAUUAGCUAGUUGGAGAGGUAACGGCUCACCAAGGCGAUGAUGGGUAGCCGGCCUGAGAGGGUGAUCGGCCACAAGGGGACUGAGACACGGCCCUUACUCCUACGGGAGGCAGCAGUGGGGAAUAUUGGACAAUGGACCAAGAGUCUGAUCCAGCAAUUCUGUGUGCACGAUGAAGUUUUUCGGAAUGUAAAGUGCUUUCAGUUGGGAAGAAAAAAAUGACGGUACCAACAGAAGAAGUGACGGCUAAAUACGUG
rnacentral:rRNA from 1 species